rnacentral:rRNA from 1 species
GAUGAACGCUGGCGGCGUGCCUAAUACAUGCAAGUCGAGCGAACGGACGAGAAGCUUGCUUCUCUGAUGUUAGCGGCGGACGGGUGAGUAACACGUGGAUAACCUACCUAUAAGACUGGGAUAACUUCGGGAAACCGGAGCUAAUACCGGAUAAUAUUUUGAACCGCAUGGUUCAAAAGUGAAAGACGGUCUUGCUGUCACUUAUAGAUGGAUCCGCGCUGCAUUAGCUAGUUGGUAAGGUAACGGCUUACCAAGGCAACGAUGCAUAGCCGACCUGAGAGGGUGAUCGGCCACACUGGAACUGAGACACGGUCCAGACUCCGACGGGAGGCAGCAGUAGGGAAUGGUCCGCAAUGGGCGAAAGCCUGACGGAGCAACGCCGCGUGAGUGAUGAAGGUCUGCGGAUCGUAAAACUCUGUUAUGAGGGAAGAACAUAUGUGUAAGUAACUGUGCACAUCGUGACGGUACCUAAUCAGAAAGCCACGGCUAACUACGUG